rnacentral:rRNA from 1 species
UACGUAUGGAGCAAGCGUUAUCCGGAUUUACUGGGUGUAAAGGGAGCGUAGGCGGCUCUGUAAGUCUGAUGUGAAAAUUUGGGGCUCAACCCCAAACGUGCAUUGGAAACUGCAGGGCUUGAGUGCCGGAGAGGCAGGCGGAAUUCCUAGUGUAGCGGUGAAAUGCGUAGAUAUUAGGAGGAACACCAGUGGCGAAGGCGGCCUGCUGGACGGUAACUGACGCUGAGGUUCGAAAGCGUGGGGAGCAAACAGG